GUUCAUAGCUCAGGAUGAACGCUAGCUACAGGCUUAACACAUGCAAGUCGAGGGGCAGCAUGGUCUUAGCUUGCUAAGGCCGAUGGCGACCGGCGCACGGGUGAGUAACACGUAUCCAACCUGCCGUCUACUCUUGGACAGCCUUCUGAAAGGAAGAUUAAUACAAGAUGGCAUCAUGAGUCCGCAUGUUCACAUGAUUAAAGUAUUCGUGACGAUGGGAGUG
rnacentral:rRNA from 1 species